AUGGAAGUGAUGAAUUUUUUCCAGAUGAACGAUGUUGAUAUUACUUGCGAUUUAGUUCUCAUAAGAUAAAUCAAGAUGAUUAAUUAGAUCCAU
rfam:Lupinus angustifolius cultivar Tanjil contig_44197, whole genome shotgun sequence.